UACAGAGGUCCCAAGCGUUGUUCGGAUUCACUGGGCGUAAAGGGUGCGUAGGCGGUGGGGUAAGUCUGACGUGAAAUCUUCAAGCUCAACUUGGAAACUGCGUCCGAUACUAUUCGGCUAGAGGAAUGGAGGGGAGACUGGAAUACUUGGUGUAGCAGUGAAAUGCGUAGAUAUCAAGUGGAACACCAGUGGCGAAGGCGAGUCUCUGGACAUUUCCUGACGCUGAGGCACGAAAGCCAGGGGAGCAAACGGG
rnacentral:rRNA from 1 species